CCGCCCCACCCCGCCCCUUUCCCGCCGGGACGCUGGGAGCCGCCCCAAAGUGCGCAGGGCGGCCCGGGAAUUAUAACCCAUGGGAUUAUGUGGUAAAAGAUCUUGCCACAGAAGAGAAUUAAAGAAUGAUGGCUUCCUUCCAGCGCUCCAAUAGUCAUGACAAAGUGAGAAGGAUUGUUGCUGAGGAGGGUCGCACAGCAAGAAACCUGAUAGCAUGGAGUGUUCCGCUAGAAAGCAAAGCUGACGACGGUAA